UCUUUUAAAAAGAAAAAAAAAUCUGUUCGCUUGCUUCAUUUUCCCCAGUCCGUCCAUAUUGCUUGUUAACCCCAUUUUUCCUCUCCAGUCUAGAGAAUGAAGUAAUCCAAUAUGUGGUUCAGGCUUUUCUUUAGUAUACUUGUGUUCAGGUGGUAUGUUGCUUUAAGAAUGGCUCCUGGCUCUCAGUAGUACCUAAACAUAAGUCAAAACAGCAGUCUAGAGUUUGUUAUUGACUCUAUAACAUAUAUAUAUAUAUGUAUAUAUAUAUGUAUGUAUAUAUACAUAUGUGUGUGUGUAUAUAUAUACAUAUGUGUGUGUGUGUGUGUGUGUGUGUGUGUAUCUCAAACUCUAUAUGGUUGAGUUGUUUGUAACAGCUACAAGAUCCUGAAGGGGGAAUGCACGUGCUUGUAUUUGGGGACUAUUAAAGCCCAAUGUUAAAGAUGACGUCCAAAGAUCAAAGUGCAGAGAUCAGGACACUGUGAACUGCUUGUUAAAGCAUUGUAUAUAGUGGAUGUUGAACCGCCAUUACUUUGUGAAUUAGGAGCUGGAUUUGAACUUGAUUUGUUUUCCACAUGUCCAUCCAUGUAAAAGAAAACAUUCUUAUCAAGUUUAGGUUUCCGUAAAUGAGAAGGGCUAACAUUUUUAGAGCUAUGAGAGCAUUCAUUGUUUUGUAAAAAGUGUAGCCAUAAAUACAACAUGUUGAAAGACUUCGCCUUCUGUAACCUGCUAUAUGCAGCAGACACUACUAAGUUAGUACAUUAACAUGUAGAGAAAGGCUUUUUUUUUUCCUGGUUUUAUUUGGAUUGUAUAGCGUUGGCAUAGCGAUUUUUUUAUUAUUAUUUUUCACAAGAAUUAUUUUUUCAAGAAAUUCUUUUCGGUCUGAACAAUGAAAAUGUUCUCAUGGUCUCUUUUGUACUAUUUAACUUCAGUUAAGAUGUGUGAUCGCCUUUAUUCUGACAUUUAAACAUACUUGACCAGCCCACGUUGAGACGCUACGCUGGUCAUAAACCGGACAAGCCACUGAGUGAGCUCACUGGGCAUUAUUAUUGACAAGCGGGGGGUGAUGGGAGGAGCCAGCCUAUCCUAUUUACAUUUUAGGUUUGUUCAAUGUGUGAUGUAAGCAUGAACCAGGGAUCUCGCAGUCUUUUACGAUAUUUCAAAAGGUGCCCGAUGUGGCACCAGAAUAUGCCUGAAGUUUAACUUGAAAGCAUGACUAGGGGCUUUCCGGGAAAUGUGUUGCAAACACUGGCAGUGCAGGCCUGUCUUUGGUGGUCAAGUCUUAACUUAGUGAUUUCUGCAGCAGUGUGCAUAAACUGCUCCUAGCCAAAGAGCCAAAUCAUCAAGACUAAAAUAUUCUGUGACUUCAACUGCUUAGAUGUUUCUAUCUUCACAAAGACUCUCCAUUUGAGUUUUGUAGAGAUGGAUAGUUAAUUUCCUCACAGAGAAACUCGGUGUCAGGAUCAUUUGGCAUCGUUCUAGAAGGACUGUUGGAACCAAAAGAUUUUUUCCCCCCAACAAAAUCAUUCUAUUAUGUGACUGAGGGGGAAAAAAUUAAUCACUUAUUUUUAGAUUAUUUUACCUUUCUUUCAAAGCUUAUUUUUUUUUCCUUCUUUCUUGUUUCCCCUGGCCUCAACAAUUUUAUUAUAUAACUUUUUAACAGCCAUUUGGCCCUUUUUAUAUUUAAUUAUAUGUGCCAUGAGCAAGCUGACUCUGUAAAGCCAUUAUUUGUCUUACGAAUACUUUCAACUCUAAUUUACAUAAUUAGCAAGUGCACCCAACAGAUAGAGUUAGCAUGUCAGGCCUGUAUUCAUUCCCAGCUCAAAGGAUCAGACGUUCCAAACGAUCCAUCAAGAGAGCCUCUGGGCUUAGAUAUCUUUUUAUAGUUAAAUAUUAGUGAGUAAAAGUGAACAUCUGAUUACAGUGACAUUUUUCUCCUAGAGAUGCUUGCCGUGUUCAGAAUGAAAUCCCGAGAACUGUUUACUGAGUCUUUUCUGCUUUUCCUUCUUAGAGGUUUGCACCAACAUCGGCAAAUUGGCUUGCCUACCAGCAAUAUCCCCCAGUCAUUCUGUGUGUGAGGCAGGGCCAAGGAGAGCACAGAGCUUUGGUUAUUGUGGCUCUGAUUUAUAGAAAGUGACAGAGACCUUUUUAGUUUAACAUGUAUAUUGGGUUAUUUUUCUUUGUUAAUUAAAAAACAUCUAAUUCUAUGCAUCCUAACUUUAGAACAUCAAACCUGUGCGUUUCUUACAGGCCUGCCGAGUACCACGUUUGUUCUGCCUUCCUCGUCCAAACUGGUUUCUUCUAGUCCUUCUGUGCUGUCCCACUUUAAACUUUUAUUGUCUAGAAUAUAUUUCCCCAAAAAGGGUGUUAUUAGGAAAGGUACUUCUAAAUAAAAUAUCCUUUGAUUAAUUAUAUAGCAAAAAUAGAUAAUUUCUCACUUAGGAUUGGGCCGACGAGGUUCCAGAUACAGACACAGCCUGUUUGUAAAGAAAUACCUUCAUAAAUGGUGAUAGCGUAGACUGAAUUGACUGGCUCACGUGGAGUUGAAAGUAAAACAUACCCGAAAGACUGAAGGAGUAAACAAUAUUUGAUAGGUAAGGGUUGUAUUUAGGGGUAGUGACAAUUGAAUCCUUAGUACAUAAUCAAUAUUGAAUCAAAACACCUAACUUAUUUACUGCCCUUAUGUCUAGCACGUGACCGAUGAUACAUGCCAUUUUGUUCUAUCAACCGUCUUCUCCUCUAAAGAGGACAAGAGCUUGUCAUGUACUUAUUGGUAGGAAACAGGAAAACACAAUUUCAUUUACCAGGUCAUUUGGUAGUAGUAGAAUUUUUUUUUUUUUUUUUUUUUUUUUUUGCCAUAGAGAAAUAAAUAACAUUUGAUUUUUACAGGUAACCUAGAUGCCAACUUCGGAAAGAGGGGCCAUACUGAAGAAUGGAGUCAUUUAGUGCCAUUAUUUAUUUUUUAGGAUUCUUGAUCCCAAGGGUAGUUGGAAAUCGCUUCAUCUUCUUAAGUUACUGUAGCUAGCCUUGAUCAUAUUUUAACAUAAUGUGUUAUCUAUCAACAAGGGGGCGGGUAGAUUGGGGCAUUUUAAUGUUAAUGUUUAAAGGACUAAGGAAAAGCAGAAUUCCAACUGAAUGUCUAAUAAUUUGAGAGGAAAUUAUUGAAUAACUUUUUCUUUUGUAGCCGUGACUUCUGGAAAGUUCAGUGUACAGGGCAGGCUCCAGUUUGUUGAGAUGAAGUGUUCGGUUGCAGUGUGACGUUGCAUGCAUACAGGGUUACAGAAUGGUGUCUAUCUGGGAGCUCACUCGGUAGGACUUGGUGAGGUCACAGACAUUAGAUUAUAGACAUUGUGGCCUGAACGCUAGUUCUUGCCUUUUUUGAUCAAGGAAUUGGUCUUUCUCUUUAAAAUGAAAUAAAAUUAAGGUGCUGUGUUGGGUAAUUCAGUCAAGGACAGUUCUGUGAGUUCAGAUUUCUCUGUAUGGAGGUGGGUAAUUCAAAGGAAAUGAGUGUAUGACCCUUCUAAAUCAAAGGGCCUGGGCUAGCAAAACAUUCAUAAAGAUUCACUGUCUUUAUAGGGUCAGAUUCCAGAUUGGAUUCCUGACCCUUGAUGGACAUUUCCACACAUUGGUAGACAAGGAUACAGAACGAUAGCACGAAGAAUCAGAGAGCUCUGAGCAAGUGGGGGCAUAAACGUGGCUUAGAAAAUAAAAGCAGAUCGAGGGAAUGCUGGGGAAGCAUCCUUGUUGGAAGAGUAAUCCUCAUUGAGUUGAAAGUAGGAGGAAGCUAUUAGAGGUCUGGGCAGCUAGCUGGAUCCGUAAAGUGCUUCCGUGGAAGUAUAAAGACCCAUGUAAGCCAGGGAUAGCAUGUGCGUGGCAUCCUGUGCUGGGGAGGGAGCUGGCCAGCCUAGCAAAAUGGCUGUGCUCAGGUUCCUGUGAGAGACACUGACUCAAAGAACAAGUCUAGCCUCAAGGCUAUGUACAUGUACACACACACACACACACACACACACACACACACACACACACACAGAGAGAGAGAGAGAGAGAGAGACAGACAGGCAGACAGACAGACACACACACACACACACCCAACAAAGUAGCCAACUGAAUUUUAGCCCGGAGGUGUUAUUCCACUAGAAAAUGUGAGGAGAUACUGGGCAGGAAGGAAGCGUGAUUUCGUGUGCAUGUAUUUGGUCAGACAGCAUAUUAUGGCUGAAAGAGCAGCAAGUGAAAUACUAUGGGUUACCAUAAUCUUGUAGAUAGUAACGUGGACCCCAGACACAUGCAGCAGAAUGGGCACUGGGAAAGGACUUGGCUGCUUCCCGUGAAGUCUCAGGAUGAAGGCACCUAAGAAAGCACAGAGCAGAAGAGGAUGAAUGUUGAGUUGUGAAUUAUGUCACCUUCUACUUUUCGGCAGUGCCAUUCCGAGAAGGCAGUCUGGGCUGCUUUCAGCACGAGAAUUAGAUCCAUUUUUAUGGGUGGUAUUGUGAAUUUUAUAAUUGAAUAUAUGGUGUGAUUAAUAAUUGUUUAGCUUUUGGGAUUUGUUCUGCAUUCCUCAGUAGUUUGUAGCAGGUUGGGCUUUUUAAUUCCGUGAGUUUGUCCUGCACACUAGAACAGGUUAUUACUGGCUGUCACCUACUAAAUGUCUGUCAGCUUUUCUGUUAGUAUGACGGCUCCUGGCAUAUACUUCAGGUGUGUCUGGUUGCAAAUAAUCUUUGGCCUAAGUUUUCUAUUACUUAUGAAGAGUCAAUAACCCACCUCGUGAGAUUGUCAGGGUUCAGUGCAAGCAAACGCGUGUAGCUGUUAAGACUGCAGUGUGCAGAGCUGUUUGGUGAAUGCUUGUCUGUGGCCGCCAUUAUUAUGAGAGUUCAUCCUAGUGUUGAUUUUCGGUUUGUUCACUCAUGUGUUCACUCAAAUGCUGCACAAGAAACAGCUCUGCUCUAGGCCUUAGGAUGGCCUCCGUUUGUAAUCUCAUCAGCUCUAUAGCUGAUGCAUCCUUUAAAGAAAAGGCCAUGAGAAUGACUGGGUUUUGCUUUAAUUUGGCCUCUUAGUAUAAUUUUUUCAUGUAUAUGGAUGUCUUGGCUGCAUGUAAAUCUGUGUACCGAUUGCAUCCUGGGAGGCUCGAAGAGGGCAAGUCGUGAGCUGCUGUGCAGAUAGUGGGAAUUGAACUCAAGUCUUCUGAUUGAGCAGCUAGUGUUCUUAAUCUGUGAGCCACAUCUCUAGCCCAGCUUUGCCGUGUAAAUGACUAUACUCUUCUCAACCGUAAGUUCGCAAAAAUUGCUAUUCAGAUAUAAAUAGUGCACAUAAACGUUCUUACACAUAGUGCUUAUUAAAUUAAUACAUAAUGAUUCUGUACUUGUAAAAUAGCACUAGACUGUUUUGGCUCCCUGCUUUUUAAUGUUAUUCUUCGUAGCAUAAUUAUACUACCGAAGGCAAGCUUUGGAAAAGGUUUCUGUUUGAAAUAAAAGCGAAAUAAGCUAGUUGAAAAUUAGUCAAACUUCCAUCUGGCCUUCCCCUGUCAGUGUUGUGUUUGUAGGUGAGCCCUUGUCAUUGGGAAUGGAGCUGUGGGGAAGGAAGUAACUCUCACACUCUCACACUCUCACACUUGAAGUCUGCUCCCUACUGAAGAGGACUUUGCUUAAAAGGAAGGGGAAGCCCCAUGUUAUCUGUAAGGCACACUUCUCAGCAUACUUCAGAAAGAAGCAAGAAGCAGGACUUCCAGAAGCAGAUUCGCAGUGCAGCUUUUCUCUUGUGAUGAGAAAUAAAACAUGAAAGAAAGUCUGUGGACUUGGAAAAACCAUGUUAAAUAUGGGAAAUCGAUUUUGUGCCUUCUAAAGCUCAUUUUGCUUUAAAUAAAAUGACAUUUUUUGGUAGUCUCUUCUUCCCAUUUUUAAAAUUCUUUUUAAAAUUACUGCUGCUGUUCUAAAGGAGUAAAAGGCAUUCUCGAGGAACUGCCACAUUAGUAGGUUGGUGCGCGUCUUGAGACCGAUUUUAUGUGAUGGGCGAACUGAGAUCUUGGUGGCUGUUCCUUUGCUCUGAGGGAGGAGAUGGAGGACGGUGGCUCCAUUGAGUCCUCCUGGCGCUCUGAUGCUCGGGCCUCUCCAUGGAGGCCUUGGGGAGUCUUUAAGCUACUCUUGCCUAUAGUGAUCAGAUUAAGUGCCCCGAGUGCCUGUCACUCCAUCUGACCCGCUUUGUUCUGUGCCCCUUUGAAUACAUCCAUAAUCCUCCAGUAGAUGCCUAAGUGUUCACAGAUGAGACCAGGACAGAGCAGAAGAGACUCUGGGCUCACACUGGGUACUGACUUGGCAGACAAGCUGAACACUUUUUACCACCAUUAGGAAAGCUAGCCUUCCUUUCUUGAGUGUUGAUUGAGGUGUAAAUUUACUUCUAGAACAGUCAGUUACAUGAUUUUGCCCUUUUUUUUUCCUUUCUUUUGACACGGUCUCCCCAUGUGACUCUGGUUGGCUUGGAACUUCCUCUGUAAGCUGUUCUACAACUCAGACCCGCCCGUCUGCACAGGCUGCACCCAAACGCUGGUGUUGUUAAAGGCAUGGCUACCAGGGCUGGUUGUUUACUGUUUAGGAGGGAGCUGUCUUCCGUGAAUUGCUGGUAUGUAAGGUGGGUCUGGGUUUGGAAGCAGCAGGGUAUCUUGGAAUACUAAUUAGCGUUCCCAUAGAUUCGUACCUAUGACUGGACUGCAGGGUAAAGUAGCAUUACACAGAAGGUAAUCUUUGGUGGUUGUGCUGAUAAUUUGGCUUUAACGUAAUGCAGCGUAAGAGGCACAUUAUUUACAGAAAGACAGCUUGUUAUCAGGCUGAGUGUUGAUUUUUCUUUUAACAUGGUGCUUCGAUAAGCUGAACAGAUUUGCCAUUUCACAUCCUCCGAAUGCAUGUCCUUAGUAUUGUGGGACUGCAGAUUAAAAGGGAAAUGUUUGGGUUUAACCUAUUUCACCGUGUGCUGCGUUUUGGAUUUGAAUACCUCUAUUAAGGUGGAGCUUACGCCUGAUGUCUGCUACAAAGCUCCUGGUGGAGCAACCAGAGCAAACGUUGAAGCAAUUUUUGUUUUGUUUUGUUUUAAGUUCAAAUUCCCCGCCUCUGCCACAUAUCUGUGCACUGGAAUGUGCUAGUGGCACUACAUGGGCUCUGCACCCUCCCUUUCGAAAUGUUGACUUUUUAUAAGAUAGACUAAGGAUUUAUAAAAUUGUAAUCAUAAAAGAUUGCCAGAAAGUGAUUAAGACACCCCUUCCCAAAGACACACGUGACAGCUUAUUUACAGGGACGCCAUGACGCCGCUGGAGUCACAUUUCCUGUAAGGUGUUCUCCACUAGAAAUAAGGGCCGUGAUCUGCAUAUGCUUUUCUUUGAAAGACUUUUAAAGACUUAGGUGCUGUCACUUACGUGACAGUCAUCCAGUUUCAGUCUUAGAAAUUCUAAUUGCUCUAAGUUUUCAUUUUCCUUGUUUUUAUUUUUAAAAAAAACUGUGAUACUAAUUUUGUUUAUCACAC